rnacentral:tRNA from 1 species
GGGCUGUUAGCUUAUCUGGUAGAGCACCGCAUUCGCAUUGCGGAGAGAGCAGUUCGACUCUGCUACAGUCCA